GAUGUACUAAAUAACUGCAGCUUCACCUGACACACUGGGACUUGAGAGCAAUCUUCCCUUCUGUAAUUAGCACAAUCCAUAAUAGAAAGAAGCUUCCAUCACUAUUCAUCUAUGCAAAACUUGAUUCUUCUAUGCUUAUAUUGCCUUUGGAAAACUCCAUGUAUUGAAGAAAAAUUGCAAGGAAGCUGAAUAAUUUAAGAAUGAGAAGAUAAUGCUAAAACCCAAACAAAUUAGCAAAACACUAAGAAGAAUAUUUUUAUAUGUUUAGUUCUUGAUGUUAAUGUUUAAGCUAAUGAACCUAUCUUCUGUAAAGAUGCACUACAUUGUGCUUAAAGCUUUACCUUUAAUAACCACCUAGGAAAGGAGAUAUUUCAGUGAAAAUUUUUUUACCUCCCUAGGCAAGAAUGAGGAAAGUAAAUAUCCACAGAAGAGUCAUCUUGAUUCCAGCUGAACUCACACGUUCCCAUUUCUGCACAAAUGGCAUAAAAGCAGCAAAGCAGUGAGAACCCUCUGCGUGUGCCCUUGAAUGUGGGGAGGGCGAAAGGCAAAUGAGCACAGCACUGCAGGGAGCUUGUUUUGGGGAGCAUCACCUGGGGAGCUCUACCUGCCUCUGCACAGCUAGGGAACAGCACAGAGCAUUGCAAAAACACAGAUUUUCUACAGCCAGCUGAGGAUGUCUGACCAUUACCAGCAGCUCCGUACAUCAAGUUUAUCCCUUUUCAGGCACAAAUAGAAAAAUCCCAGACUGACCUACAGUUUGUCCACAAACAAGCAACAAACCAGGCCUUAGGGAGCCUUCAUUUCUUCCUGUGCCUCAAGUCAAGUUAAACAAGAAGCGGGUGCCCCUUCAUGAUGAACUUGAUAGGAAUCCACCAUGAUAAGAUCAGCCAGCACCUGCAUAGCAAGGUGAGUUACUCAAGACCAUCAAAUGCCUCCCCCAGCAAUUUACAGGAGUCAAAAGCAGUUUUGGUGGUGUAGCAGUGAAUGCUCCACAUGACGCCAAAAUAACACUUUCCUGGACAAGAUUCACCAGCCAUAUUUCUAUAAAAGCAACCAAAGUCCUCAAGGGAGGUAACCCAGAGGUGGGGAAGGCUAUUGAGUAUUUGGCAGAAGGAGAGCUGCCUGGGACACCCUCAGACUGUGUUGCUGUUAGGGCCUGUACAAACACCCAAAGAUUCCCUUCCAAAGCAGGUGCUGGAAAGCAGCAAGGGCACCUUGGACACAGCUGAACUUCUGGAAGGUGGAUGUGUGCCUGUGGCACUGGCAGCAGGGACAAUGGUAGGCAAAGGGACAGCUAACUGCUAGAGCAGGUAAAAAAGACACAGCAUUAGUAACAUGAAGCUCCUUGUCUUUUAAAAACCAACAAAUUGCACAAGGAUAUCCCUUCUGCAGAAGAGUUAAUCCUUAACAUGAAGAUCAAGCUGAGAGCCUCAUGCUGACCAUUGUUUUAGGUAAAUUAUGUAUGUACUUUAUAUGACUAUUUCAGCUACAAUAUUUGAUCUGUGUUGUCCUUGGUAAAUAAUAGAAAGGGAUUUUCUCAAUGUUUGGAGGGGAUGAUUCAUUUUAAAUUCAGCACUUCCUUAGGGAAAUAAAGCAGACAGAAGCCAGACGGCCUCUACCUUGAAGAAAGUGUACUCCAUGCAGGAAAUUCCCAAUACACACACAGAGCCUGUCACUGUGAAAUCACACAUCACAGCCCUCCCCAGCUCUUCUCCCUUACAGCCUCUUCACAUUAGCUUCAGUCAGCUGCUUCCAAGAAAUCUCCCUUCACAGGGCUCUCACCUUCACCUCUUUCCUUGUAAACAAUUCUUUCCUUUUCUUUGCAUUUCUUUUCCCCUCUACAGAAGAAAAUAUAGAAUCAGGAUGUUUCUUCUUUUUAUUUAGCUACUUCCUUCCCUGCAGCUUAUGCCUGUUGGAGCCAAGAAGCAAACUCCUACUGUGCCUCCACAGUGGUCAGAAGGCCCCUGUAACUAACAAAGAAUAGUCUCAGUGUCAAUAUAUUGUCUGAAUUUGGCACUGAAGAGACUGCAUGGUGGUCACCCAUACCUUAAGUGUUGUCUUUUGUUUCCGUAUUCUCCACCAGAUGUGUGAACAUGAAACAUUCUCAUUAAACACUCCCAUGAAACAGAAGCAGGAAGCAGGGAAGAUUUUGUUGAUCUUUUUUAAGGGAGAAUUUGGCAACAUUUGGUCCAGUCCCCACUUAAAGCUGGGCUACUUUCAAAGUACUGUCCUGGAUGUAAUUCAGCAAGGCACGUGGGAGAAUCCAUCAGUAUUCUGCCGCUCAGCAUUUGUUCAGUUAAUUAUCUUUUUUUAAUAGAGAAAAUAAAGGCUGAUAAAAGGUGAAAUCAGAAGAGUUUAGUGAAUUUAGAUGAAAGAAUUGAAGUCUGAGAAGGGACUGCAUCUGGCUUUUAUAAUUUAGCAAGGCUGAAGAACAGGAGAAAAAGAAAUAGAGGAAGCACAUAUGGGACAAGGACAAACAAGUUCAAGCUGGUCACUGAAAUUUUUGAUGGAACUUUAAAAAAUGUAUUAAAACAUCACAGAAGCAGCCAAUCCCACACAAUUUGAGUUGAGGUGUGAAAACUAUACUCACUCUGCUCUUAGAAGGCUGGUUGGUAAGUUUAUUAGAAAGAGCUGAUAUUAGUUCCAGCUUCAAGAACUGAAGGGCAGCCCAGGAUGGUGCCUCCAGUUCUGUAUUUGAAAUAACCUUGAUCUGUGAUGCUGGCAAAGUGAUGACUGUUACAGAGCAGUACCCACACAUAACUGACACCACCAGAAACACAGGCAAUAGUUUUCUAGAAGCAGCCAGUACCAACCAAGAACAAUGUAUGUAAGAACUGAUGAGUGGAACAUUCACAUUUCAGUGGAUGAAUAUAAAGGUAACAGAAAACUACUUUCUAACCUAAAAUGUUAGAUGAAUAUAAAGGUAUUUGGGUCUGUUACGUGGGUGAUAAGCAGCUGGAUCAAUCCAUGAAAAAUUGCUAUUGGCUUAUGAUUUUAACAACAGGAGUGAAAGUUCUUAUUUGUAAACUGUCUGUUUGUAUAUAGAGUUGACAAAUUACCCAAGCAACUAAAAUGGCACAUGGUAAUAACAGCUACUUAGCUAUAUGGAUAACCUUUAAUCACACAUUUAUUACUGAAAAUGGCUAAAAUUGUAUUAAUGCAAGCUGACAAAAAGUAAAUGUAACCUUUAGACAGAUUGGGAGCAUUGUUUUAAGCACAGAGUCUUUUUAUUCUGGCUUUUUCCACCACUAAGGUGCAGAGGGGAAAACAAGAAUCAGUUCCCUAUGAAAAUACUAUUUCUUCCAUUAUUCAUUGCCUACAAGAAGAAAUAGAACACAGGAGACACAACACAAGUAAAACCAGGUUCAUAGGUCAGACAUUUA